rnacentral:rRNA from 1 species
UACGGAGGUCUCAAGCGUUGUUCGGAUUCAUUGGGCGUAAAGGGCUCGUAGGCGGUCUGUUGCGUCGGGAGUGAAAACCCAGGGCUUAACCCUGGGCCUGCUUUCGAUACGGGCAGACUAGAGGCAUUCAGGGGAGAACGGAAUUCCUGGUGUAGCGGUGAAAUGCGCAGAUAUCAGGAGGAACACCGGUGGCGAAGGCGGUUCUCUGGGAAUGUUCUGACGCUGUGGUGCGAAAGCGUGGGGAGCAAACAGG